UUCGCAAUGCCCGAAAGGGUGACGAAGCGACGCCGCGUGUGGGAAGAAGGCCUUCGGGUUGUAAACCACUGUCGGGAGUUAAGAAAUGCAAGGAUAUGAAUAGUGUCUUUGCUUGACUAAGGCUCCGGAGGAAGCCACGGCUAACUCUGUGCCAGCAGCCGCGGUAAUACAGAGGCGGCAAGCGUUGUUCGGAAUUAUUGGGCGUAAAGAGCACGUAGGCGGCUAUGUAAGUCGGUUGUGAAAGCCUUCCGCUCAACGGGAGAACAGCAUCCGAUACUACAUGGCUUGAGUGCGGGAGGGGAGAGUGGAACUUCUGGUGGAGCGGUGAAAUGCGUAGAUAUCAGAAGGAACGCCGGCGGCGAAAGCGGCUCUCUGGCCCAUAACUGACGCUGAGUGUGCGAAAGCUAGGGGAGCAAACGGGAUUAGAUACCUCGGUAGUCCUAGCCGUAAACGAUGGGCACUAAGUAGAGGGGUUUU
rnacentral:rRNA from 1 species